GAUGAUGAAGGACGUGGUAAGCUGCGAUAAGCUACGGGGAGCUGCAAACGAGCGUUGAUCCGUAGAUUUCCGAAUGGGGAAACCCGCACGGUGAAGACCGUGAAACCCUUGGCUGAACACAUAGGCCUUGGGUGGUGAACGAGGGGAAGUGAAACAUCUCAGUACCCUCAGGAAAGUAAAUCAAUAGAGACUCCGCUAGUAGUGGCGAGCGAACGCGGAUGAGGCCAGU
rnacentral:rRNA from 14 species